GAUGAAGAACGUAGCGAAAUGCGAUAAGUAAUGUGAAUUGCAGAAUUCAGUGAAUCAUCGAAUCUUUGAACGCACCUUGCGCUCUUUGGUAUUCCGAAGAGCAUGCCUGUUUGAGUGUCAUGAAAAUAUCAACCUUGACUUGGGUUUUGUGCUCUAGUCUCGGCUUGGAAUUGGGUGCUUGCCGCUUUUACGAGCGGCUCACCUUAAAUGUAUUAGCUGGAUCUGUCUUUGAGACUUGGUUUGACUUGGCGUAAUAAGUAUUUCGCUAAGGACAUUCUUCGGAGUGGCCUCGUUUCUAGGACGCUUGUCCGCUUUCCAAUACAAGUUCCACCUCGUGGACAUGACUUUUUAUUAUCUGGCCUCAAAUCAGGUAGGACUACCCGCUGAACUUAAGCAUAUCAAUGAGCGGAGGA
rnacentral:misc_RNA from 1 species